AGCCAGACUCCUACGGGAGGCAGCAGUGGGGAAUAUUGGACAAUGGGGGGAACCCUGAUCCAGCGACGCCGCGUGAGUGAAGAAGUAUUUCGGUAUGUAAAGCUCUAUCAGCAGGGAAGAUAAUGACGGUACCUGAGUAAGAAGCCCCGGCUAACUACGUGCCAGCAGCCGCGGUAAUACGUAGGGGGCAAGCGUUAACCGGAUUUACUGGGUGUAAAGGGAGCGUAGACGGCAGCACAAGUCUGAAGUGAAAUGCCGGGGCUUAACCCCGGAACUGCGUUGGAAACUGUGCAGCUAGAGUGCAGGAGAGGUAAGUGGAAUUCCUAGUGUAGCGGUGAAAUGCGUAGAUAUUAGGAGGAACACCAGUGGCGAAGGCGGCUUACUGGACUGUAACUGACGUUGAGGCUCGAAAGCGUGGGGAGCAAGCAGGAUUAGAUACCCGGGUAAG
rnacentral:rRNA from 1 species